rnacentral:rRNA from 1 species
UACAGGGGGGGCAAGCGUUGUUCGGAAUUACUGGGCGUGAAGGGCUCGUAGGUGGCCAACUAAGUCAGACGUGAAAUCCCUCAGCUUAACUGGGGAACUGCGUCUGAUACUGGAUGGCUUGAGUUUGGGAGAGGGAUGCGGAAUUCCAGGUGUAGCGGUGAAAUGCGUAGAUAUCUGGGGGAACACCGGUGGCGAAGGCGGCAUCCUGGACCAACACUGACACUGAGGAGCGAAAGCCAGGGGAGCAAACGGG